AGAUUUUUUGCUGAGCCAAAACACUUGUAACACAUACUGAGAAAAAGUUCAUAUUUCACAAGAGAUAAGCCUAAAUGAUUUAACAUUACUAGAUCUUAAAAACGUUACGCUAAACAAAGUGAUUUCAGUCCAAAACAACAUACCUGUGACAUUCCAUUAGUGACAGCUGGUCUCAAUACCGACUUAUUCUGUCGAUUAAUACAUGGGCAAUUGGCUUUUAUACCCCAUUUGCCUCGUGCUGCAUGAACCAUGUCUCCAAUAUUGUAAAGAGCUGUACCAGGAAUGAUCUGUGUUGGCAUAAGGUUUUCUGGUUCAUGAGACUGACCCUUUGCACAUUUCAGCCACGAGAAGACUUCCUCAUCACCAAUCUCCUCUGUCUCACUACGUGGACGAUUCUUCCUCAGCCGAUAACAGUCCAGACAGACCCCAAACCCGCACUUGCGACAAACCCAAUGAAUAUUGAAUAGAGUUGUCUCACAUACAUCACACAUCUCCCGCACACCGCGUACUGCUCGCUUCCACGCCACUUUCUGAUGUGGCUCCACCAUCAUCAUUGCUUCCUUUUCUG
rnacentral:lncRNA from 1 species